GCCACCUUAGCUCAGUUGGUCAGAGCAACCGCCUUGUAAGCGGUAGGUCCGGGGUUCGAAUCCCCGAGGUGGCUCCA
rnacentral:tRNA from 1 species